rnacentral:lncRNA from 1 species
GGCUGGCUUCGUUGCUUCCCCAGUCCCUAGUGCGUUCAGUUUUGGUUAUUUCUGGUGUUAUAUGCAAAGAAUCUUCUCGCUUUUAUGUGAAUAUGCAAAGUGACAGUUGUGCGGAAGCUGACAUCUUGUAUCAUUACUACAAUCUAUUCCAGGACGAUCCUGAAGGGAAAUUUGUUGUGUAGAACCUACUAGUUAGAGGAUCCUGGGGGGAAGGAAGGGAGGAGGAAGUACGAAAUAUCGAGAGGUUUCCUUUCUUUACGCAACAGAUAAUUUGAUAUUUAGAUCCUUUUCCAGUCGUAUAGAUGUUGAGUUCCCACACCUGCUCGAUUUUUCUUACACGAUAAAGUUUCAGUGUUGCCAAGUCUCGCGAGAAAAAAUAAGCGACAUUGCUGUUCAAAACAAACUUAAAAAAUCGCAACCCACGACUCUAGAAACAUUAAAGCAACUUAGAAAAACAAACGAAACGAUCUUUCGAAACAAACAGUACUGACUUUCAAAACUGCUCUUUUAUGGCUUAUCCUCAAAAUGGCGAUUUGCGCGAAUAUUGAAUGUGUCAAGAGGGCGUGCCAGAAAGCUCACGAUAGUGGGUGUGUUUAUUAAUUGAGUGGGAAUAAGAUGAUUCUCAAACUGUAAUAAUGUGUUAGCUAGUCAUUGACCCAGUCAAUCACCGAAACCACUCCUACAACUAUUUUAAUAUGUUGAAGUCAGAUAUUACAAAAAAGCUCAAAUAAGUUACAUCAGAAUAAAACAACCCCAAGAAAUCACAACACGCGAUUUUGAAAAAAAUAAAGCGAUUUGUUUUUAAAGAAGCUCAAUACCGCUUAUUAUAAGCAGACUUGGUAACACUGCAAUGUUUGCGUUUCAUCGUAUAUUAGUGCUUUAAAAAAGUUGUAAAGAAGCAUUCUGCCCAUUAAACCUGCUGCCAUCUAUUGACCAUUUUUUACUAUAUGUUAUUACUGUCAUAACUGUCACAUUUAGUAGAUCAACAAUUUUAUUGACAGUUUUCUCAUCGAUUUUGCUUCUGUAGAGUGUUUAGGUUUAGGAAAAUUUAAACGUUUUCAGCAUUUAAUAAUUUUCGAUUAAUCUGUCAAAGUGCUCAAAAGGUGGCGAUAGUCAUUUGUGGGUCCUGCUCUUUAUCGUACGAUCUUUCGUACUAUUUAUAGCAAACGAUACGUUCUUUUCAUACUCAGCUUUUAUACUCGCUUGUCCAGGCCUUUAAUAAUUCAAACAUUAAGUGUCCAGAAAAGUAUCUAUGUUUCAUGUUUAAUUUUAUAUGUGUUAAACUAUAGAACGUUCAGUAAUCCUUCAUUAGCAUAUUAUUUAUUAAAGUAUAUUUAGGUUUAGACUUAACCUCUAUAACGAGAAAAAAGUUUAGUCAUGCGAUAAAAAAAUAAUACUGAAAUGUUAUUAAACGUACUAUAAGAAGAAAAUUUACAUUGUUAUUCCCAAUUGUUCAGAAAAUAAAGUUAUAAGUUAUUUUGAUUUAAUAUAACGAUAUCAAUUAAUCUCGCCUUUGAGAGAUAGGAUUCAAAAGAAGCGCCAUUAUUAAUCUAAAAAAUAAUAAAAAUCGUACAAAAAUAAAUAUUAGUUUAAUUCUUUUUAUUGUAUUCGAUAGUUAACAAUAGCCUGUUGAUUGAUAGCCAAAUUAAUAAUUACUUGCUUGUUACAUGUGCGUCGAGUUGUUGAACUUAAACUAAUAUGUAUUGUAGUUAAAUAUAUUUGUUAAAUAAAACAUCUUUUUUUUUGUCAAAA